CCCACAUCGUCAAUCUAGCUACCUCAUCCACGUCUUGUGGAAUGAUAGUAUUACUGUGAACAUAUUCUUCACUCUCCAUUUGUAGUGUCAAUGCCUCAACAAUCCCAGAAACUUUCUCCAAACCCUUUUGCGUGUUGUUCCCUGCAGAGAAGAUAUAAACAUUUUUCUUCACCUUAAUCCAACUCUGUCCAGGAUACUUCCUUAAACCCUUUGCUCUUGCCUCACUGUUGCAGAAUCCUUCCAUCUACCACUUGCAGCAUAUAUAUUAGAAAGCAGCAUGUAAUUCCCCGUCGUUUCCCGCAGGUUGAGACUAAAAAUAUGGGAGGCAGUUUCUCCUGCCACUUUUGUAUUGUUAUGCAUUCUACAAGAGUUCAAAAGAGCACCCCAGACACAAGCAUUGGGCUCUAGUGGCAUAUUUUUGACAAUUUCACUUGCUUCUUGUAAUAACCCUGCACGGCCUAGGAGAUCAACCAUGCAAGCAUAGUGCUCCAUCUGGGGUUCAAUCCUAUACUCCCUAAGCAUCAGAUCAAAAAGCCUACGACCCUCAGGAACAAGUCCAGCAUGACCACAAGCAGAAAUAAUAGCAACAAAAGUA
rnacentral:misc_RNA from 1 species